rnacentral:misc_RNA from 1 species
GAAAGUAAAAGUCGUAACAAGGUCUCCGUAGGUGAACCUGCGGAGGGAUCAUUACAGAGUUCAUGCCCUACCGGGUAGAUCUCCCACCCUAUGUUAUUAUUACUUUGUUGCUUUGGCGGGCCGUUAGGCUCCGGCCCGACUACCGGCCCCGGCUGGUAAGCGCCCGCCAGAGGACCCAAAACCCUGAAUAUUAGUGUCGUCUGAGUACUAUGUAAUAGUUAAAACUUUCAACAACGGAUCUCUUGGUUCUG